rnacentral:rRNA from 1 species
UACGUAGGGUCCGAGCGUUGUCCGGAAUUAUUGGGCGUAAAGCGCGUGUAGGCGGCUUUGCAAGUCGGAUGUGAAAGCCCUCGGCUCAACCGAGGAAGUGCGUUCGAAACUGCAGAGCUUGAGUACCGGAGAGGGUGGCGGAAUUCCCCAAGUAGAGGUGAAAUUCGUAGAUAUGGGGAGGAACACCGGUGGCGAAGGCGGCCACC